rnacentral:rRNA from 1 species
CCUACGGGUGGCUGCAGUGGGGAAUAUUGGACAAUGGGCGAAAGCCUGAUCCAGCCAUGCCGCGUGUGUGAAGAAGGCCUUCGGGUUGUAAAGCACUUUCAGUGGGGAAGAAAGCCUUGGGGCUAAUACCCUCGAGGAAGGACAUCACCCACAGAAGAAGCACCGGCUAACUCCGUGCCAGCAGCCGCGGUAAUACGGAGGGUGCGAGCGUUAAUCGGAAUUACUGGGCGUAAAGCGCGCGUAGGCGGUCUGAUAAGCCGGUUGUGAAAGCCCCGGGCUCAACCUGGGAACGGCAUCCGGAACUGUCAGGCUAGAGUGCAGGAGAGGAAGGUAGAAUUCCCGGUGUAGCGGGGAAAUGCGUAGAGAUCGGGAGGAAUACCAGUGGCGAAGGCGGCCUUCUGGACUGACACUGACGCUGAGGUGCGAAAGCGUGGGUAGCAAACAGGAUUAGAUACCCGGGUAGUC